CGACGCGAGGAUCGACUUUCCUCAAAGCGGGCCGAGCAUCCGGGCUCGGGAAGGCGGCCAAAACGAGCCAAACGUCCGCUGCAUACCCAUUUUCCAACUCUCUGAUUGCUGCUAGUUGGGGGCGAAGGAGGGCAGAUCCGGAGCUGGUUCGGCGGAGGAAUGGCGGAUCCGGCGCCGGUUGAGGCGCACAAGGGCCGAGGGACUUCCGGCGAGCUGAGGCGGGGGUGCACGGCGGCUCACGGUGGCUGAUCCGUGACCUAGGCUGGUCGGACAGCCUCCCAAACGUGAAGACGAGCGAGGACGACGGCGAAUGAGGGAAGAGCAGCGGCGUGAGCGGGCGAAGGAGAAUCGGCAACGAGCUGGCUUCGGCGGCUUCGGCGGUUCCGGCGACGGGCGACGAGCGGCGAAGGAGGCGGACGGCGAGGGGCUGCUUCGGCUUCUUCCUCUGCAAUUUUUCUGGUCUUUCGCACAAAGAAGAUGGAGGAGAAGCCAACGGAAGGGAGAGAGGAAGGAGAGAGAAGGAGGAGAGAGAGAGAUGGGACCAUUUUUCUUUUCUUUUUCUUUUUCUUUAAUCCCACCAAAUGGCCCACCAUGACCUAGGAUGACAUCACACUCCACUAUCUCCCACAACCUCUUCCAAUGGGUUCACUUGCAAUUUCCGCCGGGGUCCAAUUCUUGUACAUCAAAUUCUUCAAUUAUAAUCAAU
rnacentral:lncRNA from 1 species